CCCAGUCUGGAAAGUGAGGAGCGUCUCUGCCCGGCCGCCAUCCCAUCUAGGAAGUGAGGAGCAUCUCUGCCCGGCCGCCCAUCGUCUGAGAGGUGGGGAGCACCUCUGCCUGGCAACCGCCCCGUCUGGGAAGUGAGGAGCGUCUCCGCCCGGCAGCCACCCCGUCCGGGAGGGAGGUGGGGGGGUCAGCCCCCCGCCCGGCCAGCCGCCCCGUCCGGGAGGUGAGGGGCUCCUCUGCCCGGCCGCCCCUACUGGGAGAGUAUUCUAGCUGCCUCCGCCUUUGAGACAGAGCAGGAAGAACCUGUGGAUGGUGGGAUUCCCUCUUCUUGGAGAAGGGGAUGAGCAUUUCCCGCUGCCCUCCUGACACGCCCGUGGCUGUCUGCCUUGCUCUGUACCUCCAGACUUCAUGGAAAGCAUGCUCGACCUUUGACUUCUGGGUGGGUGACUUGGGGCACACCCAAGCAGGAGACCAGCCUGCAGAGAGGGGGCCUAUGUCACUCUGGCCACUCUGUGGUUGGGCUGGCUGUGGCCCACAGACCCUCUGCUCCCUCUAAAUCCUUGAAUGAAGCACAAAAGGGAUUGGUCCUUGCCUGGUGUGAAGCACAGCUGAGCCAAAGGAGGAAGCAAUAUUGCAAUGGACUCUGUCUUUGACAUCACUACUUUGCAAAUUUGUUACCACUAUGGUCAAAUUUUUAUAUUCACUCUUACAUUUUAACUCAUUCUGCUCAUUAUAUUCAAUGCAACAUCUGCACUAAAAGAUACUCAGGCAUUAAUUUAUGCUUUUCUGUUUACAAAUGAGAAUUCAUAAGCAAAUUGAGGUAGCAAUUAGAUAUUUUUUAAAAUCGAAGACAAAACAGAAGACACAUACACACACAUCAGUGGAACACAACAGAGAGCCCAGAAACAGACUGAAAUACAGCCGACUAAUCUCUGACAAAGGAGCAAAAGCAAUUCAAUGGAGAAAGGAGAGUCUUUUUAACAAAUGGUGCCGGAACAAGUGGGCAUCCAUAUGCAAAAAAGAAAAAAAAAAAGAAUCUAAAAACAGACCUUAUACUUCUUACAAAAAUUAAUGCAAAGUAGAUAUUAGACCAAUAUAUAAAAUGUAAAAUUUUCAAACUUCUAGAAGAUAACAUAAGGAAAAAAUCUAGUUAACUUUGGAUUUGGUGACUUUUUAAAGAUACAACACCAAAAGCAUGAUCCACGAAGACAAAAAUUGGUAAGCUGAAUUUCAUUAACAUGAAAAACUUUUGUUUUGCAAAAGAUACCAUUAAGAGAAUAAAAAGACAAAUCCCAAACUGUGAGAAAAUAUUUGCAAAAUAUAUCUAAGGAUUCGUAUCUGAAAUAUGCAAAGAACUGUUAAAACUCAACAAGAGGAAAACAAACAACCCAAUUAAAAAUGGGCAAAAGCUGAACAGAUAUGCAGAUGGAAACUAACUAUAUGAAAAGAUGCUCUGUAUGUUAUUAGGAACUGCCAAUUAAGACAACAAUAAGACACCACUACACACCUAUUAGAAUGGCCAAAAUCCACAAGUCUGAAAACACCAAAUGCUGGUGAGGAUGUGAAGCAACAAGAACUCUCAUUCAUUGCUGUGGGAAUGCAAAAUGGCACAGCCACUUUGGAAGACAGUUUGGCAGUUUUUUACAAAGCUCACAUAGUCUUAUUAUAAGAUUUAGCAAUUGUGCUCUUCAUUAUUUACCCAGUGGAGUUGAAGAGUUAUGUCCACACACAAACUUGCACACAAAUGUUUAUAAAAGCUUUAUUCAGGAUUACCAGAAACUGGAGGUGAUCAACAUGUCCUUCAGUAGGUGAAUGGAGAAAUAAAUUCUGAUAUCUACAGACAAUGGAAUAUCAUUCAGUGAGAAAAGACCUAUCAAGUCAUGAAAAGGCAUACCGGGACCCAAAAUGCACAUUACUAACGAAAAAAGCCAAAAAGGCUACAUACUGUAUGAUUCCAAUUAUGUGACAUUUUGGAAAAGGGAAAAUUACACAGAUAGUAAAAUGAUCGGUGGUUGGUAGGGGUUGAGGAGAGGGAAGGAUAGAUGGUCAGAGAGUUCCGGAUGUUUAGGGCAGUGAGACCAUUGUGUGCGAUUUCACCACAACGGUGGACCCACGACAGUGUGCAGAUGCCAAACCCAUUGAAUGCAGACCACAAAAAGAUAAUAAUUACAUAAACUAUGAACUUUCAUAAUGAAAUAAAUCAUGUUUUAAAAAAGUAGACAGCUUUGUUCAGUUACUGUCUACUUUUUGAAAUGGAGAGGGUGGGAUGCUUACAUGGUUGUGAGGAUAAAAAUAGCUUAGAGAAUGUAAUAACUAAAACAGGUGUGUAAACAUUGUUAAACUCUUUUAUCCUCAUUAAAAAACAUUGCUUAAAUAUAUUUGUAAUUUUUUACAACUGAGCGAGUAGUGCAAACACAUUAACAUAAUUCUCCUCUAGCUCCGCUCAGAAGUCAGGCUUCAGUGCAGGACCACAUGGCUCCAAGUGCACCUGCCAAAUGCAACAACCUCUUUCAACGUCAUUAAAAUAUUUCAAUAGGAGGCUUGAUUUUAGACUCAACCUGUGUUUUCUCCCCUGGAAAAUGAAGGUUUUAUGAAACAAAGAAGGUCUUUACCAUUCUCAUCCAAAAUGCUGAGACAUCUGUGAUGUCUGCUGUAAGUGCCACCAGGCUCUCCUCUGAAAUCUCACAACGGGAAAAUAGAGACUGUCAAUUCUGCUUUUAGAAAGGGGAGAAUCAGAUCUAAUGUCGAAAUGCCAUGUCCUCAUUCAUACACAUCUUCUUUUACAAAUUCCACAGGUUUAGUUACUUUGGGAUUAAUAUGGGCCUAUUUUAAAGUGCAUUUAUUAAUUUAGCAUGAAAUGUCCAAAUGCAUUCUGGAUCCUGAGCUGACAUCCAGCAAUGCUGAGUGUGCGCCUGUGUGAGUCACCAGCCCUGAUGAGCCUCAGGUUAUUGUAUUCAUAAAAUGAAGGGGCUUAGGCUUGCUCCGAUUUUUUUAAAACCAUUUUUAACAGUAAAAACUUGUUUCUUGUUACAUAAAAAUGUACAAGAAAAACCCAAACAUUACAAAUGAUAAAUUAUAAUUUUAUUAAUAUAAAUAUUUUGUGAGCUCAAUUUAUAGGACUUAGUUAUUAUAAAAGAAAUAAGCAACAUGAGGUGGCCAUACUUUCCUAUUUUGUUCACAUGCUAUUGAUAAAUCUUGAUGUACACAGAAAAUUAGUUUCAAAGAAUAAUAAUUUUAAAAAUCUUGACUUGUAAUUUCAAGGGACUUUAAAAAAAUUCCUGCAAUUUCUCUUUAAAGGUUCUAGAACAGUUUUCUAUGUCUUAAAGCUAAAUAAUCACAAAGAACUAACUGUUCUCACAUUCUGUAUUAUAAAUAUGUAAGUCAGAAAAGGAACAGACAAAAGAAUAAAAACACAUGCGUGAACAAAUGGGCCUUGGUUUACAUUGAAUUGGAUCUGGCAAUGAACAUGGGUUAUAGUAGUAUUUUUGUGUGUAAUUUUACACGAGUGGACUGUUGACAAAAUAAAAAUUGUCUGCAAUCACUAUUUGGUGGUAUAUUUGCACAAAUGGUAAACAUAUACAUAGAGGUCGUGGGAGAAAUUUAUUUCAUGGCUUACCAGAAGACAGGUUAAGUUGGGA
rnacentral:lncRNA from 1 species